rnacentral:rRNA from 1 species
AAUCAACGCUGGCGGCGUGCCUCAGACAUGCAAGUCGAACGCGAAAGUCCCCUUCGGGGAGUGAUUAGAGUGGCGCACGGGUGAGUAACACGUAGGUAAUCUACCUUCGAGUGGGGAAGUAACUCAGGGAAACGUUAGAGCUAAUACCGCAUAAUGCAGCGGCACCACAUGGUGACAGUUGCUAAAGACAUUUAUGCGCUUGAAGAGGAGCCUGCGGCGGAUUAGCUAGUUGGUAAGGUAAUGGCUUACCAAGGCUACGAUCUGUAACCGGCCUGAGGAGGGCGGACGGUCACACUGACACUGAAUAACGGGUCAGACUCCUACGGGAGGCAGCAGUCGGG